rnacentral:rRNA from 1 species
CCUACGGGAGGCAGCAGUGAGGAAUAUUGCUCAAUGGACGCAAGUCUGAACCAGCCAUGCCGCGUGCAGGAAGACGGCUCUAUGAGUUGUAAACUGCGUUUGUACGAGGGUAAACGCAGAUACGUGUAUCUUUCUUAAAGUAUCGUACGUAUAAAGAUCGGCUAACUUCGUGCCAGCAGCCGCGGUAAGACGGAGGAUGCAAGCGUUAUCCGGAUUUAUUGGGUUUAAAGGGUGUGUAGGCGGUCGGAUAAGUUAGAUGUGAAAUCCCGAGGCUCAACUUCGGAAUUGCCUCUGAUACUGUUCGGCUAGAGAGUAGUUGCGGUAGGCGGAAUGCAAGGUGUAGCGGUGAAAUGCUUAGAGAU